GCAAAAUCAAACCAACAUGGCGGUCGUGAAGCGAGGGGAGUGUAUCGACUGCUGAAGUUAAGAAAACUUGCUGGUCUGUCCCUGUCCGCAAGUCUGUCCUUGUUGGCUGAAAUCUGUCCCCUCCUGUUCCUGUCAGCUGAAGUUGGUACCCAGCACAAGGCAUUCUUAGCAAACAAGGCAAGUCUGUCCUGUCGGCUGAAGUCUGUCCCUAUCGGCUGGUCUGUCACUGUCGGCUGAAAUCUGUGCCUGUCGGCUGAAAUCUGUCCCUGUCGGCUGAAGUCUGUCCCUGUCGGCUGAAGUUGGUACCCAGCACAAGACAUCCUUGGCAAACAAGGAUCAAACACCUGAGACCAGUGAAGAGCACUGAGAGCAGUUAAUGGCACAGAACCUCUAUGGUAAACAUCGAUCUUGAAAGACACUGAAGACGACUUUUGUUUGAGUAAUGGAGUGGAAGUGCAAAUUGUGUAUUGUGUCUGCAGACACCCGGGCACAGUUAUUCCGGCACUAUCGCUUGAAACACAGCCAUUAUUCUAGAGUUAGCCCUCUACCAUGUCUCCAUGACUCUUGUAUUUGUACAUUUCUGUCCUUUAAUGCCUUGAAAAUUCAUCUGUCACGGUUUCACAGAGAUGUGUGUAG